rnacentral:rRNA from 1 species
AUUGAACGCUGGCGGCAGGCCUAACACAUGCAAGUCGAACGGUAACAGGAAACAGCUUGCUGUUUCGCUGACGAGUGGCGGACGGGUGAGUAAUGUCUGGGAAACUGCCUGAUGGAGGGGGAUAACUACUGGAAACGGUAGCUAAUACCGCAUAACGUCGCAAGACCAAAGAGGGGGACCCUCGGGCCUCUUGCCAUCGGAUGUGCCCAGAUGGGAUUAGCUUGUUUGUGGGGUAACGGCUCACCAAGGCGACGAUCCCUAGCUGGUCUGAGAGGAUGACCAGCCACACUGGAACUGAGACACGGUCCAGACUCCUACGGGAGGCAGCAGUGCGGAUUAUUGCACAAUGGGCGCAAGCCUGAUGCAGCCAUGCCGCGUGUAUGAAGAAGGCCUUCGGGUUGUAAAGUACUUUCAGCGGGGAGGAAGGGAGUAAAGUUAAUACCUUAGCUCAUUGACGUUACCCGCAGAAGAAGCACCGGCUAACUCCGUG